rnacentral:rRNA from 1 species
UACGUAGGGUGCGAGCGUUAAUCGGAAUUACUGGGCGUAAAGCGUGCGCAGGCGGCGCGUUAAGACAGGUGUGAAAGCCCCGAGCUUAACUUGGGAAUUGCGCUUGUGACUGGCGUGCUGGAGUGUGGCAGAGGGAGGUGGAAUUCCGCGUGUAGCAGUGAAAUGCGUAGAGAUGCGGAGGAACACCGAUGGCGAAGGCAGCCCCCUGGGCUGACACUGACGCUCAGGCACGAAAGCGUGGGGAGCAAACAGG